CCUACGGUGGCUGCAGUGGGGAAUAUUGGGCAAUGGGCGCAAGCCUGACCCAGCAACGCCGCGUGAAGGAAGAAGGCUUUCGGGUUGUAAACUUCUUUUCUGAGGGACGAAGAAAGUGACGGUACCUCAGGAAUAAGCCACGGCUAACUACGUGCCAGCAGCCGCGGUAAUACGUAGGUGGCAAGCGUUAUCCGGAUUUAUUGGGUGUAAAGGGCGUGUAGGCGGGAAAGCAAGUCAGAUGUGAAAACUCAGGGCUUAACCCUGGGACUGCAUUUGAAACUGUUUUUCUUGAGUGCUGGAGAGGCAGUCGGAAUGUCGUGUGUAGCGGUGAAAUGCGUAGAUAUACGAAGGAACACCAGUGGCGAAGGCGGAUUGCUGGACAGUAACUGACGCUGAGGCGCGAAAGCGUGGGGAGCAAACAGGAUUAGAUACCCUAGUAGUC
rnacentral:rRNA from 1 species